rnacentral:rRNA from 1 species
AUGAAUUGCAUGUUUUGGAAUGUCAGGGAAAUAGAUACCCCAUGUAGAAAACCUCUCAUACUAGAUUAUAUCAACAAGACUCAUGCAUCCAUACUUGGCUUCCAGGAGACCAAGAAAAUGGAUUUUUCUGAUUCUUACAUUAGAUCUUUAGUAGGUAAUAGAUUCUUUGAAUGGAAACAUCUGCCUUCAGUUGGUUCUGCUGGAGGCAUCCUAGUGGGAGUGGAUUUAGAUAUUUUUGAGGUAAUUAGCUGGGAAGUGAGGAAUUCCUCAAUCUCCUGCAACCUUAAGUUGAGAAGUAGUCAAGUUGAGUUUAGGGUGGUCACAGUGUAUGGAUCAGCCUAUGAAAAGGGUAAAGAGGACUUCAUUUAUGAACUUCACUCACUAUUUCUAGAUUCAAGCACACCUACAUUAGUUGGUGGUGAUUUUAAUUUGGUUAGAUACGAUAGUGAUAAGAGCAAUGGGAACAUAAAUCAUAGAUGGGCUGAUAAUUUUAAUUCCUGGAUAGAGAUCUGGAGUUUAUUGGAGAUUAAGCUCCCCUCCAGAAAAUACACCUGGGAUAAUAACCAGGCUGACAUGAUUAUGUCCACUAUAGAUAGGAUGUUCUGCAAUACCGAGCUAGAUAAGAUUUUCCCCUUAGCCUCUAGCAGUGCCCUGCCUAGAUUGAGGAGUGACCAUAUUCCUAUUAUUUGGGACUCUGGGGUAAAUAGGCAGGCUAAACCUAGUAGUUAUAAAUUUGAGAAAUGA